UGAUGGUUGCUGAAAACAACGAUGCUGUGAUUCCUUUUUUUCACAAUGAUUCAUCUUCAUUUCAGAAAUAUAUAAUUAAAAUAGUUAUCUUUGCGUAUGCUUCAACGAUGCCCAUCAAGUUUUAACAAUGGACGAUUAGUGUUUGAUGCAAACUUGCAAUUUAUACAAUUUUUGGGUAUAAUCGCUGAGAAUAUCACGAAGAACAUGAUAAAAUUGUUUUCUAUGAAAUGGACUCCUGAGAUCAAUAGGCAGACAUGAGUAUGUCUGACAAGACAGUUGAACACAUCACAUAGUGCUAAGGCAUGGAACUGUGUUGAUUUAAGGACCACAUUAUUAUGGACCACAUUUUAUGGACCACAUUUCAUGGACCACAUUUCAUGGACCACAUUUAUUGGACCACAUUGCAUGGACCACAUUACAUGGACCACAAAUCAACACCAUGGCAGUAGGUCUAGAAGCUGGGCUCAAAGCCUCACAAGACAACUGUAUGCUGUAUAUCUAAGCGAUGGCCCUCGCCAGAUAAAGGUCAAAGGUUAGGCUAGAAGCAAGUGGAAGCACCCAAGUGUGACAGACGUCACAGGAAGGUUGCAGGUCAACAAGGGGAGAUAACAAUGUCAGACUCU